rnacentral:rRNA from 1 species
CCUACGGGAGGCAGCAGUGGGGAAUCUUGCGCAAUGGGCGAAAGCCUGACGCAGCAACGCCGCGUGCGGGAAGAAGGCUUUCGGGCUGUAAACCGCUUUCAGCAGGAACGAAAAUGACGGUACCUGCAGAAGAAGGAGCGGCCAACUAUGUGCCAGCAGCCGCGGUGAUACAUAGGCUUCAAGCGUUGUCCGGAUUUAUUGGGCGUAAAGAGUUCGUAGGCGGUCAAGUAAGUCGGGUGUGAAAAUUCUGGGCUCAACCCAGAGACGCCACCCGAUACUGCUUAACUUGAGUUCGAUAGGGGAGUGGGGAAUUCCUAGUGUAGCGGUGAAAUGCGCAGAUAUUAGGAGGAACACCGGUGGCGAAGGCGCCACUCUGGAUCGAUACUGACGCUGAGGAACGAAAGCAUGGGUAGCAAACAGGAUUAGAUACCCUGGUAGUCCAUGCCGUAAACGGUGGGCACUAGGUGUGGGUUUCUAUUAACGAAAUCCGCGCCGUCGCUAACGCAUUAAGUGCCCCGCCUGGGGAGUACGGUCGCAAGACUAAAACUCAAAAGGAUUAGACGG